ensembl:misc_RNA
AAGCUUUGCAGAUUGUCUUUUGCUCCAAGUUAUUUUUGGUGAUUAUUUUUUUAGUGGUUUUUCAGCACUAGUGGCACUAGGCUCUCAGACAGGUUAUCCCGUCUCUCCCGCUAGAUUGAUGAGAUCAGGCAUC